rnacentral:rRNA from 1 species
UGUUUGCAGUUAAAAAGCUCGUAGUUGGAUUUCGGAAGGUCUUUAGUUGGUCCGCCCCUUCGGGGAGCGGGUCACCGGCCUCCUACGUUCCUAACGGUCCUCAUCCGCGAGGGUGGGGAAUCAACCGCUAGGAUCGUUUACUUCGAGGAAAUUAGAGCGUUCAAAGCAGGCGUAACUCGCCUCCGAAUACGUUAGCAUGGGAUAAUGGAAUACGACUUCGGUCUCGUUUCGUCGGUUUCGCUUGGCUGAAGUAAUGAUUGAUAGGGACAGUUGGGGGCAUUAGUAUUUAGUUGUCAGAGGUGAAAUUCUAGGAUUUACUAAAGACUGACCAAUGCGAAAGCAUUUGCCAAGGAUGUUUUCAUUAAUCAAGAACGAAAGUAGGGGGAUCGAAGACGAUCAGAUACCGUCGUAGUCUCUACCGUAAACUAUGCCGACCAGGGAUCCGGAGAGUUUGCAUGGAUGACUCCCCGGGCACCUUGUGAGAAAUCAUAAGUGUUUGGGUUUUGGGGGGAAGUAUGGUCGCAAGGCUGAAACUUAAAGGAAUUGACGGAAGGGCACCACCAGGAGUGGAACCUGCGGCUUAUUG